UCGAAAUUUGGGUUACUGUUUCGGCCACGGCCUCCUCCGAUCAAUGGACCCAAUGGUCCCCCAGAUCCACCGCCUUUAAUCCCCACCCAGAUUCCGAAAACAUCUCUUAUCCCAAAUCACAAAUCCUUUACUCCCCAACCCACAAACAUUAGUGAAAUUUCUUUUUAUAAUCAAAAUUCCCCAAACCCCUCGCCCCCUUUUUCCUUUUCAAAUCAAAACCCGCAAAUCACUUUGAACACAAAAAAUCAUGAAAGUACUACUGCUAAUAAAACUGCUAUCUCUCAAAGUAAAAUUAAUGGCGACAAUUCUUACAUAUGUGCCAUAGGAAUCAAAACCCCAAAACCAAGGAGCAGAAUCCGACUCCCUCCCAGAUCUUACGAGCUGAUUAACGGCAAACCAGUGGUAAAUUUUACUGAGGAGGAAAAUGAUAUCUUGGCGCAGUCAUGCAAAUGAACUAUAGUUGUUGAUAUUUGACGACGCGAUUAUUGGAAGCAACUUGGAGUUGUUCGGCAAUAGUACUAAGAAGGGUAAAAACAUAUUGUGCUAUAAAGAAAAUGGCUUGGAGAAUCAACUUGGCCAGAUCGCCAUUAUCUAACGUCGGGAUCAUUAAACCUGGUGCACCUUAUAUGAUAGACCGGUAUAUAUCACACUUAUACCCUCUAGAAGGGAACCUAGUUGACGGGGUUGUCAGACGGCCAUGAUAGACCCAUGGUGUCAGAAAGUUUAUCGACUCUGGCUGAAGUAUCUCUCAUUUUAACGAAAUUAUAGAAAAAUAUAGAAUUAUGAGCAUGUUUUCACUCCCUUGAUUUAUCAUUUCAUAUAUGAAUUAUUAUGUUGGGUUAAUGAACUA